AACGCACAUUGCGCCCUUUAGUAUUCUGGAGGGCAUGCCUGUUCGAGCGUCAUUAUCACCUAUCAAGCCUGGCUUGCUGUUGGGUUUAACGCCGUUGAAAUAACGUGGCGAACCCCAAAGAUAAUGGCGGUGUCAAUUCGACCCUCGGUGCAACGAGCUUUUCACGAGGCACGCAUCAGUAGUUGGACGAUUGACCCGGUCAGUUUUACUUUUUUUAACAGGGUUGACCUCGGAUCAGGUAGGAAUACCCGCUGAACUUAA
rnacentral:misc_RNA from 1 species